AUACGGAGGGUGCAAGCGUUAUUCGGAAUCACUGGGCGUAAAGGACGCGUAGGCGGGUUGGCAAGUCAGAUGUGAAAUCCUACAGCUUAACUGUAGAACUGCAUUUGAAACUGCUAACCUAGAGUAUGGGAGGGGGAGAUGGAAUUAGUGGUGUAGGGGUAAAAUCCGUAGAUAUCACUAGGAAUACCGAAAGCGAGGGCGAUCUCCUGGAACAUAACUGACGCUAAGGCGUGAAAGCGUGGGGAGCAAACAGGAUUAGAAACCCUAGUAGUCC
rnacentral:rRNA from 1 species